rnacentral:rRNA from 1 species
CCUACGGGAGGCAGCAGUGGGGAAUAUUGGACAAUGGGGGGAACCCUGAUCCAGCGACGCCGCGUGAGUGAAGAAGUAUUUCGGUAUGUAAAGCUCUAUCAGCAGGGAAGAAAGGACUGACGGUACAUGACUAAGAAGCCCCGGCUAACUACGUGCCAGCAGCCGCGGUAAUACGUAGGGGGCAAGCGUUAUCCGGAUUUACUGGGUGUAAAGGGGGCGUAGACGGUUACGCAAGUCUGGAGUGAAAGGCGGGGGCCCAACCCCCGGACUGCUUUGGAAACUGUAUAACUGGAGUGCAGGAGAGGUAAGUGGAAUUCCUAGUGUAGCGGGGAAAUGCGUAGAUAUUAGGAGGAACACCAGUGGCGAAGGCGGCUUACUGGACUGUAACUGACGUUGAGGCUCGAAAGCGUGGGGAGCAAACAGGAUUAGAUACCCCAGUAGUC